rnacentral:rRNA from 1 species
AUUGCCUCAGUAACGGCGAGUGAAGCGGCAACAGCUCAAAUUUGAAAUCUGGCGGCCUCUGGGCCGUCCGAGUUGUAAUUUGAAGAGGAUGCUUUUGGCGAGGCGCCUUCCGAGUGCCCUGGAACGGGACGCCACAGAGGGUGAGAGCCCCGUAUGGUUGGACGCCGAGCCUCUGUAAAGCUCCUUCGACGAGUCGAGUAGUUUGGGAAUGCUGCUCAAAAUGGGAGGUAAACCCCUUCUAAAGCUAAAUACUGGCCAGAGACCGAUAGCGCACAAGUAGAGUGAUCGAAAGAUGAAAAGCACUUUGAAAAGAGAGUUAAAUAGCACGUGAAAUUGUUGAAAGGGAAGCGCUUGCGACCAGACUUGUGCCCGUCGAAUCAGCCGCCGCUCGCCGGCGGCGCACUUCGGCGGGCUCAGGCCAGCAUCAGUUCGCUGCAGGGGGAGAAAGGCGGCGGGAAUGUGGCUCUUCGGAGUGUUAUAGCCCGCCGCGCAAUACCCCUCGGCGGACUGAGGACCGCGCAUCUGCAAGGAUGCUGGCGUAAUGGUCGUCAGCGACCCGUCUUGAAACACGGACCAAGGAGUCGUCCUAAUAUGCGAGUGUUCGGGUGUAAAACCCCUGCGCGUAAUGAAAGUGAACGGAGGUGAGAGCUUCGGCGCAUCAUCGACCGAUCCUGAUGUUCUCGGAUGGAUUUGAGUAAGAGCAUAUUGGGCCGGACCCGAAAGAAGGUGAACUAUGCCUGUAUAGGGUAAAGCCAGAGGAAACUCUGGUGGAGGCUCGCAGCGGUUCUGACGUGCAAAUCGAUCGUCAAAUAUGGGCAUGGGGGCGAAAGACUAAUCGAACCUU